GGGGUGAUAGUUCAAAGGCCGAACACUGCUCUUGCACAGCAGGGAUCGGGGUUCGAGUCCCCGUCGCUCCA
rnacentral:tRNA from 2 species